rnacentral:tRNA from 1 species
GGUUGUGGCUCAGUGGCAGAGCGCUUGCCUAGCACAUGUGAGGCCCUGGGUUCGAGCCUCAGCACCA